UAGGGAAUCUUCCACAAUGGGCGAAAGCCUGAUGGAGCAACGCCGCGUGUGUGAUGAAGGGUUUCGGCUCGUAAAACACUGUUGUAAGAGAAGAAUGACAUUGAGAGUAACUGUUCAAUGUGUGACGGUAUCUUACCAGAAAGGAACGGCUAAAUACGUGCCUAG
rnacentral:rRNA from 1 species